ACGGAAAGCCCGCAGCGUGCGCCGUAGAAAUGCUCCGGCUAGUGCCGGGGGAAAGCAAGCAUCCGUGAUGGGAUCGUUCCGGGAGCUUCCCCCCCACCCCCGACGGAGGGAGCGGAGAAAGCAACGCCGCCGAGUGUUUCAGGUCGGAAGCUCAGUAUCCUGAGAUCCAGCCCCACCUCAGGCUCCGUGCUCAGCCCAGAGUCUGCUGGAGACUCCGUUUCUCCCUCCCUCCUCCUCGGCUCCCUCCCUCUAAAAUAAAAUAUUUUUUAACAAUUA